rnacentral:rRNA from 1 species
GACGAACGCUGGCGGCGUGCUUAACACAUGCAAGUCGAACGGAAAGGCCCUGCUUUUUUGGGGUGCUCGAGUGGCGAACGGGUGAGUAACACGUGAGUAACCUGCCCUUGACUUUUGGAUAACUUCAGGAAACUGGGGCUAAUACCGGAUAGGAGCUCCUUCUGCAUGGUGGGGGUUGGAAAGUUUCGGCGGUUGGGGAUGGACUCGCGGCUUAUCAGCUUGUUGGUGGGGUAGUGGCUUACCAAGGCUUUGACGGGUAGCCGGCCUGAGAGGGUGACCGGCCACAUUGGGACUGAGAUACGGCCCAGACUCCUACGGGAGGCAGCAGUGGGGAAUAUUGCACAAUGGGCGGAAGCCUGAUGCAGCAACGCCGCGUGCGGGAUGACGGCCUUCGGGUUGUAAACCGCUUUCGCCUGUGACGAAGCGUGAGUGACGGUAAUGGGUAAAGAAGCACCGGCUAACUACGUG